rnacentral:lncRNA from 13 species
GGGGGAACCACCGUCAUGGCUGGAAAGAGUACAGCUUUUAUUUUUUUUGCAUUUCAGCUAACCGCUGUCCUUACCUAACCUAAUUCACCUAACCUGACACGUUAUUAUCCUAACCCGCUCCGGAAAUUUUCUUAACCUGCUACGAAAAUUCAACUCUGACAAAAACUGUUGGCCUGUCCAUUCCAGUCAAAACCGGGAACCAAGUCAAGCGCGUGUGCGCGCUGUCACGUGACGCCGACCGCGCCAUGUUUCCAUCUGCGCGUCAGAAGUUUGCGGGCAGGCAGGGAAAGGUAGCAACAGGAACAAAGUUUGGGACGGACUCCCUCGUUAGCUGAGCGGGUUUCUCCCGUAAAAUGAGCUAACAUUUUUUCAUCAACAAAAAAACUGAACACACCCGAAUACCAUCAGGAAGACAACGGACCCACAAACAGCAGUUUCUUAGAUGCUUUGGAAAAUUGCUAUUGUGAAGUGUGUGGAUGUGCUGGACUGUGCUUUUUUAGCAUAGUUUGGAGUGCCCCCGCCUCUUAAAAUGGCUUAAAGGUCCUCGUGUUGAUAUAUUUUAACAUUUAAGAUAGGGUAUUUUUGUUAGCUUGUAAUUUUUCACAAAUACAGCGAACUUUUAAUUAUAUUUUUGUGGCAAAAUACGCGGAUUUUCCACGAUCGCGCCCCCUGAUUGACAGGAGCGAAGGUGACGUUGGAUUUGAAGAAGUGGGACUCCUUUAAAAAAGUUAACAGAUUAACAUUCUAACGGAGGUAAACAGACGAGGACCUGGUGGACAAAAUGGCUACCAUGGCGUCACCUGGCGACGCUAUCGAGGGAGCAGCCAAUGAUGAGUUCAAUGACAUCAUCAAAUGGAGAUCUGAUGAGCACGAUGCAGUACAGAAGAAAACCUUCACCAAAUGGAUAAAUGCACAGUUCUCCAAGGUAAUGCCAAAGUGUGGUAGGCUAUAUCCGAACCUGUUCACACAAAGGUUGCUCAGUUAAACCCACCAAUAAUUUAAGUUAAACCCAUCACUAAUUUAACUUAAACCCAUCACUAAUUUAACUUAAGCCCAUCACUAAUUUAACUUAAACCCAUCACUAAUUUAACUUAAGCCCAUCACUAAUUUAAAUUAAACCCAUCACUAAUUUAAAUUAAACCCAUCACUAAUUUAACUUAAGCCCAUCACUAAUUUAACUUAAGCCCAUCACUAAUUUAAACUUAAGCCCAUCACUAAUUUAACUUAAGCCCAUCACUAAUUUAAAUUAAACCCAUCACUAAUUUAACUUAAGCCCAUCACUAAUUUAGCUUAAGCCCAUCACUAAUUUAACUUAAGCCCAUCACUAAUUUAACUUAAGCCCAUCACUAAUUUAACUUAAACCCAUCACUAAUUUAAGUUAAACCCACCAAUAAUUUUUGUUAAAUCCACCAGCACCAGCUAAGAAAAUAUUGUUCUGGAAACCUCCAACACUGAUGCUGAACUGAGCUAGGAGUUUGAAGACGGGCUGAAUGAAGUAGUGUGAGCAGGUUAUUUCUGUCCAAACAGACUGUUUUGUUUGACUGUUUCAGACUAAUAACUUCCCCUUUGAACACUAACCCUGACCUUCUCUUCCCAGGCCCAGGAGAAUAACAGAUUCACUGCAGGAAAGAAUAGAUAGCCUAGCGGAGCACUAAGAGGACAUUAGCAUGGCUGACUCCCCUAUUACAGUGUAUACAGGGAAAAUGCUUCAACGUUAACUCGAUUUAGCUAUUGUCUUCUUGAUAAAUUAAUUGGUCUUCACUUGAGUCUGGUUAAUCUUCUCUGUGCUAAUCAGAAACAUGCUAAUGUAACAUUGAUGCUUCUGUCCCUCUCCUCGCCCCAACCUGGGCUCAAACCAGGGACCCUCGGUCUCCCACAAAGCAUUGUUACCUAUCACUCCACAAGAGCCUUGGCCCUUGAAGCAGUUGUUACUCUUGCUCUACAAGGUUAACUAGCUAGCCAUUUUACACCAUUUACAUUAACGCGCGCUAAUGCUAGUCUGAUAAUGGGCCUUGUGUGUGUGUGGUCUUGUUUUAGCUAUGUUCCCUCACUCCCACAGGGUAGUUAACAGAAAUAUUUUAAACAUGCUUAUACAAUUUCACUAAUUAUUUUUCCAUAAAUACAUGUAUGGACUCUAGUUUUUUUCUUUUUCUCAUUCGCUCUCAUUUCUUUCUCUUUCUCCUCUCUCUCCCCCUUCUCCCUCUCGUUUUCUCUCUGUA